ACUGAACUUGCAGCUGAUAGCUCCACUGAUUAUAGCCAGCCAAUGGCGUGUAGACUUGUUGUCUCACCACCUGUGACGUCAGCAAGUCUAUAAAAGCUUGCGCUGCCCCAAAAUCUUGGUCCUUUACCAUCUGACCCGUACAUGUACGAUGUGCCCUCUUUAGCACUUCUGGCACAAGUGUGACUACUCUUAAAUUCUGUAUCUCUUCAAAAUUCUUUCAUACAAUCUUUUCGGUUCAAUCAAUUCUUUCGUUCAAUUUCUCCUCUCCCACAACUCCGUUUAAUUUUCCGCCGCGUCAAGGAUUUUUUAGAUGUUUUCAGUUCGUCUAAAACUCAACUAAUCCUCCUGAUGUGACAGUCACAAAAAAAUUGUUUUUCUAAACAAGAGAGUGAAAAGUUGGUGUGUUCCAAUUGGAAUUCAUUUAAAGGAAGUGUGCUGAGUCAUCGUGAAGGUACUCCUGCGAGCUGGAUAGGUCUUCCUCUUGAUUAGACAUCCCUUCAUCAUCUGCAAACUCGUCCGACUCAUACUCAUCUCGAGCAUUGUCAUGCUCAUCCUCCUCUGAGUACACCGAAUCGCCUUCUUCCGCUAAAGAGUCACCCAUCUUGUAGCAGCCUGACAGUUUCGCCUGCUCCAGGAUGUACUGGUGAAGUGGCAGCAUGUUCUGCGUUGAAUAGUCCACAUUUGAGUAGAGUGGGUACGUUGGUUUUUUAUCUUUGCUGCUGUCUGAAGAUGCGGAGAGGUUUGAACUUGGCCGCGGCCGUAAUCCUAGAGAACAACAAUCAAAAUGUGUUAAGUUGGAUUUUUUAAUUCAGCAUUGUAUACAUAAUAAUUUUACAAUACAAUAGCACGUUCAGACCUAAACAGGGUCUUCAUUUGUUAUCAUUCGAAAACAUUGAAACUUCUUGACCAAAUAAAAAGGAAUAUGAAAAACAAAAA